AGACUUUGAUUAUGGCUCAGAACGAACGCUGGCGGCAGGCCUAACACAUGCAAGUCGAACGCGUGCCUUCGGGCACGAGUGGCGGACGGGUGAGUAACGCGUGGGAAUUUGCCUUGGGGUACGGAAUAACCGCGGGAAACUGCGGCUAAUACCGUAUACGUCCUUCGGGAGAAAGAUUUAUCGCCCUGAGAUGAGCCCGCGUCCGAUUAGGUAGUUGGUGAGGUAACGGCUCACCAAGCCUUCGAUCGGUAGCUGGUCUGAGAGGAUGAUCAGCCACACUGGGACUGAGACACGGCCCAGACUCCUACGGGAGGCAGCAGUGGGGAAUAUUGGACAAUGGGGGAAACCCUGAUCCAGCCAUGCCGCGUGAGUGAAGAAGGCCUUAGGGUUGUAAAGCUCUUUCGCCUGUGAUGAUAAUGACAGUAGCAGGUAAAGAAACCCCGGCUAACUCCGUGCCAGCAGCCGCGGUAAUACGGAGGGGGUUAGCGUUGUUCGGAACUACUGGGCGUAAAGCGCACGUAGGCGGACCAGCAAGUUAGGGGUGAAAUCCCGGGGCUCAACCCCGGAACUGCCUUUAAACUGUUGGUUUGAGUUCGCGAGAGGUGAGUGGAAUCCCAGUGUAG
rnacentral:rRNA from 1 species